rnacentral:rRNA from 1 species
UUUAAAAUGAGAGUUUGAUCCUGGCUCAGGACGAACGUUGGCGGCGUGCCUAAUACAUGCAAGUCGAACGAAGUCGCCCAAAAUCAUCUUAGUGCUUGCACUAAGAUGAUUUUGGAUCCGACUGAGUGGCGAACUGGUGAGUAACACGUGGGUAACCUGCCCAGAAGAAGGGG